rnacentral:rRNA from 1 species
GACGAACGCUGGCGGCGCGCUUAACACAUGCAAGUCGAACGGAAAGAGCCUGCUUGUGUGGGGUUCUCGAGUGGCGCACGGGAGUGAAACACGGGAGUAACGUGCCCUUCACUUUGGGAUAACUUCAGGAAACUGGGGCUAAUACAAUAUAUCAGCUCCUCCUCAUGGGUGAGGGUUGGAAGGUCUCGGCGGGGGGGGAUGGACUCGCGGCUUGUCAGCUUGUUGGUGGGGUAGCGGCUUACCAAGGCAAUGACGGGUAGCGGGCCUGAGAGGGUGACCGGCCAGAUUGGGACUGAGAUACGGCCCAGACUCCUACGGGAGGCAGCAGUGGGGAAUCUUGCACAAUGGGCGGAAGCCUGAUGCAGCGACGCCGCGUGCGGGAUGAAGGCCUUCGGGUUGUAAACCGCUUUCAGCUGGGACGAGGCGAAAGUGACGGUACCGGCUGAAGAAGCACCGGCUAACUACGUG